CGUCUUAAUUGCACUUUAAUGUGGUCUCCGCAAAGCUGCUUCUGCCCGCCGCGAGAAGCGCUGCCCUGCUCCCUUCAGCACCCGAGCGAAGCCUAACAGGUCAGUUGCAGAUGAGGCGUGGCUCAGCUUCAGCAUCUAAGAGCAUCCCUGAAGGCACGCAUACCUCUCUUGUCUGGGCAGUGCCGGUCUCGUCAAAGAGUUAAAAUAGGGAUGGUGGAACCAGAGGAUGGCGCCCAAGGCUUCUGCUAAGAAGUGGCACACGAUCGCUCCCACCUCUUCUGAAAUUUUGAGUUGGCAGCAGAGUAUGUAUCCUCAGGCCAAACCAUGAGCAAUGCUCCCUAAAGAGAUGGAGAAAAGCUGCCUUGGAAGAACUAGAACUGCUGGUCGUGAUCUCGUCACAGAAUAGUGCCCUCCUUAAUUACAGUGUGAGUGUCAGAAAUGGCCCUACUUCCAGAUUUCACUUUGAUACCAUCAGGGAAUUGCAGCCAUUACACUCAGAAGACUCACUGGAUGAACAGUGACUGAUGACUGAAGCUGGUUUGCAUUCAGCAGCCCACCGAGUGAAAUGCACCUGUUCUGCAGUGAUUGGCCUCGGGGGCAGAACUCAUCUAACUUGACAAUAGUGGUGUUACCGAAAUCACUCCCCAGUAAACUUCCUCCAUUCAAAUUUCCACUUCACAGUCUCUUGCCUGGGAAAACAAACCUCUGACAUCUUAGCUGCGCUUCAGUGGACUUGGAUCUUGGAAGACUUUAAGGAGUCCUCAUCAGGUAGUACCUUUUACCACCCAAACAAAACGCACUGAGAAGAUCAAGAAAAUCAGAGGGCAGAUUAUUUGAGGUGACGUGUUCUCAGCGAAUGUCACAGCAGCUGCUGGAGCACUCUGGAACUGCCAGACCUCAACUCUGACAGCAUUUCACUCCUGUACGUUUCCAAGGAUCCAAGAUGCACUUGGAUUAGUACAUUAAUGUGGAAAGCCAUUUCUUCAAUAAAAUGAACAGAAGCCAACAGAAGAGAGAACUCCUAUAAAUGUUGGUGAGAAUGGAAGAAAGUUGCAGAACACCUUACCACUGAAGGCAGAUCACAGGAAUCACAAGAAAGAGGAAUUGUUCUCAAGACUGAUUGCUCAAACUUAGGCCCACAGAGUUCCAGUUUUGACCUUCAACAGACACAAUUUCACACACAGAAUGCAACCUCCCCUUGUUGGAUGAUAAAGAUGUUGCUUUCACUUCAAAAUGCAGCCUUCCUUAGAAACUUUCACUUUCUAAGCCCAAAAUGUGGGUGUGUACCAGAGAAAGCUGUGUUCAAGCAGCCAGUCAUGCUUCCCCUAUACAUUUAUGGUGUCUCUCAUUAAGUUUCUCGUUUGUACAAUGACCUAAACCCAGAGUGCUUGCACAGUAUUAAUAAGAUGUUCUAUCCAUU